UCUUCUUCAUUGUCUUGUUUCUGGCUGGGGGGAAACGAAGAAGAAAAAGAGAGAGAGCGAAAAAAAGAGAGAGCGAUAGGCAGAGAGGGUGAGCGACAAAGCUCGAGGUUGAGCUCAAGGAUGAGGGAGUGCGAGAUGGAGCUCAACCACCUUCUUGUUUCCUUUGCUUCUCCGUCUCUAUGUAUCUCUAUCCUGCCAUCUCAGUUUUGUCUGCUUGCGACUGUAUUGUGCAGGUAUCGAAAGCCCGAUAGCCUCUAGCUCACCCUCUUACCCUUUUCAGACUAUAAAAUGGGCCAGAUCGGCUACUGGACCCGGCGAAAUACAAAUAGGGGCCUGAUCGGUCACUGGACCCGACGGAAUAAAAAAAGGGACUCGAUCGGCUGCUAGACCUGACAAAGGUUAAUAGGCGGCCCCGGCUUAUGAUAUAUGUUUAUGAGGACAUGGGAAUCAAUUAUUUGAGAUAUGAGGGGUCACGGUACCGUCACGACUUUAUUGGGAGGAAACGCAACCCUAUGGCUAUAUUGAUUGGUUGUGUUGUAUAUUGUUUGUCUGGUUUGAUUGCUGUAAAUGUGAUGAUUGUUGAGAUUGUCUGAAAUUAUUCUGUGAAAACCGUAUUGUUUGUUAAAGCUUGAUUUAGUCAUUGUAUGAGUGUUAGGCGGUGUUGAGUUAAUGGUUAAUUGUAAUAUUAUUAUAUGGUUAUAAAGAUAAUUGAUUGUUUACGAAUGAAUUUAGUAAUUAGUUGUA